GAACCCGUGUUGGAGAAGGGGAGCACGUGCAAAGAGUUCAAUGGCGUUUAAGAGAUAAGCCGAGAGAAUUGCACGUGCCCUGCUUCUCCAACAAGGAGCU
rnacentral:pre_miRNA from 1 species